AGGGAUCAAACCUGCACCCCCUGAAGUGAAAUCUCAGAGUCUUAACCACUGGACUUCCAGGGAAAUCCCCAGGCAACUCUUUAGAAGGUUCUCAGUGGUUGCUCUAAAAUUCUAUAGAGAGGCGCUUUGGACAAGUAAUUUGGCUGAAAAGUGCUCUGUAAGACUUGGCUUGAAGCCUUGCUUGCACAGCAAGCUCAUCCCUUCUUCACUCUUGGAUUGCGUGCUUGGCCAUCGGGGGAGGACAAAGGGAGAUGACAGUGGGGAUGGGCACUGAAGCUUUUCCACUACAUUACUGGGUCCAGCUGCUGGCUGCAUUUACUCAGAUCUCUCAACUUCUUGAAUUCCCUAGCUUGCUGCCCCUUCCAGGUCUCCAGGAGCCAACCCCGCCCCCCGCUCCCCCAAUAUUUCUCCUUGCCUCCUCUUUCCCUGUUUACUCUCCCCUCCCACUGGGGUGACUGGCUUGCUGAUUCCUGAGAGCAUGGGCACCUCCUCAGGUCAUCUGAAUGCCGUCUUCCCUCUGUCUGGAAUGUCCUUUCCCUUCUCAACUGUCCAGCAAACUUCUUAUCCUUGAACACCCAACUCUGGGUCAACUGUGGAGAUUUUCCAUCUCUGGAGUGAGGUUGCCUUAGAAAGCAAUCCCUCCAGGACUUUCCUGGUGGUCCGGUGGUUAAGAGAAUUCACCUCCCAAGGCAGGGGACGUGGGUUCAAUCUCUGGUCAGGGAACUAAGAUCCUACAUGCUGCAGGGCAACUAGAGAACCCUCAUGUCACAAAACUGCAGAGCCCACAUGCUGCAUGGAAAGAUCCUGAGUGCUGCAACUAAGGCCUGAUGCAGCCAAAAGUAAAUUCAUAAAUACUAAAAAGAAAAAGCAAUCCUUUUAAAGGGCUCUUACAGUGUGUCACUGGUACUGAGGAUGUUUGGAUAUUUUAUCUGUUUUAUUGUUUUUAGACUGUGAGCACCUUGAGGUCAGGAAUUUUGUCCUUUAACUGUUUUUCAUUCCUGGUGCUUAUCACAAUGACUGGUAUUAAAAAAAAAAAAAUACACCUUUGUUGAACUGGAGGAAUGAAUGAAGGGUCUAGAAAACCUAGAAGAACCUGCCAAUACAGAAGUAGAUUUUGUGAAA